rnacentral:misc_RNA from 1 species
AACGCACCUUGCGCUCCUUGGUAUUCCGAGGAGCAUGCCUGUUUGAGUGUCAUUAAAUUCUCAACCCACUUGGAUUUUAUCAUUCAAUAAGUGUGGCUUGGAUUUUGGGGGUCUGCUGGCAGAGUCAGCUCCUCUUGAAAUAUAUUAGCGAAGUUGCGCCUUGUUUCUGUGGUCGGUGUGAUAAUUUAUCAACACCUAACCCUAGAAUAGGGUUUCGCUUCUAAUCGUCUUUGGACAAUUUUUUGACCUUUGACCUCAAAUCAGGUAGGACUACCCGCUGAACUUAA